CCAAGUCGUAAAACACCCACGCACAUCGGAAACACACCAAUAAAAUGCCCUUAAACAAAAAACUACUUGACCCACGAAAGCCAGGAAACAAACUGGGAUUAGAUACCCCACUAUGCUUGGCCAUAAACCAAGGUAGCAUCAAACACACCGCUACUCGCCAGAGAACUACAAGUGAAAAACUUAAAACUCCAAGGACUUGGCGGUGCCCCACACCAACCUAGAGGAGCCUGUCCUAUAAUCGAUAAUCCACGCUCCACCCAACCAUCUUUUGCCAUCAGCCUAUAUACCGCCGUCGUCAACUCACCCUAUGAAAGAAGCACAGUGAGUAAAAUAGUUAUCAACUAACACGUCAGGUCAAGGUGUAGCACAUGAGAUGGAAGAGAUGGGCUACAUUUUCUACUUCAGAAAACACGAACAGCUCAGUGAAACUUGGGCUAAAAGGCGGAUUUAGAAGUCAGAUAAACCAGCAUUUUUAU
rnacentral:rRNA from 1 species